rnacentral:misc_RNA from 1 species
CCAAUAGCGUAUAUUAAAGUUGUUGCAGUUAAAAAGCUCGUAGUUGAAUUUCGGGGUUAGUAGAUUGGUCAUGCCUCUGGUAUGCACUGGUCUCACUGAUUCCUCCUUCCUGAUGAGCCGUAAUGCCAUUAAUUUGGUGUUGCGGGGAAUUUGGACUGUUACUUUGAAAAAAUUAGAGUGUUUAAAGCAAGCUAACGCUUGAAUACAUUAGCAUGGAAUAAUGGAAUAGGACGUUCGAUCCUAUUUUGUUGGUUUCUAGGAUUGACGUAAUGAUUAAUAGGGAUAGUUGGGGGCAUUAGUAUUCAAUUGUCAGAGGUGAAAAUAUUGGAUUUAUUGAAGACUAACUACUGCGAAAGCAUUUGCCAAGGAUGUUUUCAUUAAUCAAGAACGAAAGUUAGGGGAUCGAGGACGAUCAGAUACCGUCGUAGUCUUAACCAUAAACUAUGCCGACUAGGGAUCGGAUGAUGUUAAUUUUUUAAUGACUCAUUCGGCGCCUUACG